AUAUAUAUACCACCAACAUCAUUAACAUGCUCACCACCACUUUUAGCACCAACAUCACCAAUAUCAACACCAACAUUAACAUCAGCAUCAUCACCAACAUUUAUUGCAACAUCAUCAGCAUCACCAGGAACAAUAAGUGCUUCCCUUUUGAUGGUUGUUGCUUCAGCCAAUUCUUUUUUUGUCAGAUCCAGUGUAGGGUCUGAUUUUGUGUC
rnacentral:lncRNA from 1 species